AGGAAGGAAGGAAGGAGUUUUUGCCUGUUGAAGCUAUCUGAGAGUUGAUGUUACCUGUUCUGCUACCUAGGUGCUCCAAGACUGCAGGGAGUCUCCAGCCCCCAUCCAGAAACCUGGGACAACUGGAUUUAAACUGGAUGAACAAACUCCCUUGCAAGCAAUGUAUCAACAAAAGCCAGGUUCCUUACCAGACAAAGGGGAAAGUUACUCUGGGAUGCUAAAAUACAGCUGCAGCAUUCCAGCCACACUUUCUGCUUUCAGACAUUAAUGCUGAGCACUGAGAAGAACCCCAGAUGUGGAAAGAAGUUUCACCAAACAACUGAAUUCAUAGUCAGUUGCAGGAGAAUCGCUGCAUGUUUUGCCAGGUUGGGGAUGUGGUCUUCAACAGCUAUCCAGAACUGCAUAGGAUCCUCAGAAUCUGCAAACCCAUCUUUCACAGUCCCUAAAUACACUGGCCUUUCCAUAUUGCACUUGCUGGGCAGCUGAUUUCAGCAUUUCAUAAUCUGUACAAACAAAACCAACUUCUUCAGGAUCCAGUUCUUGAACAGUGCAGAGAAAAUCAAGUACUGGCUGCUUACUCUUCAUGCUGUACUGUUUGCUUAUCAGCAGCACUGAGCAGCUGUGGAUCUUUUCACACUUCAGCUGCUAAGACAAGAUGCCCCAACCAUGCAAUUAAAUCCACAACAGUGUUGUACACUUCAUGCACUUGGCAUUUCUGGGACUCUAAAAAGUCCAGUGGUGUCACCAGGUGUCCACAGUUCUCUGCAACAUACUUCACAUCAUUGUGCAGGUCUGCUCCUGUGAACAGGCUGGCCAGUUCCUGCAGAAGAGCUGUAUCCCCUUGUUCUGUUUGUUCAAGUUUCACAAACCCAUGGGAGAGCUAGGAGUACUGUGCAUGGUACUUGAUGCUAUUGAACUACGUGUCCCUCCGGUCACAGCUGGUUCUGGUGGAUGUGCUGGUGAAUCAACAGUCUGAUACUCCAGGUACUUUAAGAGCCAUGCACGAUGAGCUGGAGCUUUUACUAAAAGGGACUUCAUUAAAGUUACAAAGCGAUUCACUUACUUGAAGGUCUCUCACCAAGUAGUUCCUGCCAAAGCAACUAUGUUAGCAUAGCAAUGAAUAUGUACACAGUUUGACCACAGACCACAAAGUACAUUGUUCCAAACCUUCACCACGUAGUGCACAUUGUCCGUUACAAAUGCUAAUAUUCGCUCUAGUGGGACAGCAAAUUCCAUCAGACAAGAAAUCCAGGCUUGUGCAAUGGUGGCAUGCUUAAAUUUCCACAGGCCCACUGGCUUUACUAGCUGUGGUGCGGGAAUGUUCGGAUGGUUAGGAGGCUGUACCUCGAGCACCUGAAACAAAAUGUCGAGAACUGGUCUGUUCUGGAAGUCAGUUGUUUCAUCAGCUAUCGUGGCAAUGAAGUUUCCCCCAAAAUCUUUAAGAAGGCACUGUUUUUUCAUGUUCAAAAAGAGCUGGUAGGUGGGAAUACAAUUGGACUGACUUGGGAAUGGCACCACUUCCAUUAAUGUACUUGCUCAAAAAAUCCCUGAUGACAGGUACAUCCAUUUUAUGCAGAGGAAUGUCUGCUUUUAAACAUAUUCAAAUAAAAUCCGAAGUGAUGGUGUCACGUGGGCUUUGGCAGCUACAGAACACUUGAAUGCUGCAGUCACAGCACUUUGGUUCUUUGAUGGCCCUCCUUUUUCUGUAUCUGCUCUUCAUCUCUUUUCAUCCUGUUUAUGCUUAGCACUUUGCAUGUGUUUCAUAAUCAUCUGCCUUUGAAUGUGAUCUACAGCCUUAUUGCAUGUAGUGCAGAACAGCACAGUGCCGUCAGUGUGAAACUUAUCCUCAGCAACACGGUCCUUAGGUGCGAGUUUCACAGUCUUUAGCAUCUUUUCUGGACUAGAAUCCGAUAGUUGGAGACUGAAGUAAAAUUUGAGAUGCAUCAAACACACAAGCCCUUAUACGUAGGGACUAACUCAAUUCGUAGUUGUGCUUUUCACGCUUUAAUCUUUUUUUUUUUUUUUAUACUUAUUUCCAUGAAAGAAAGCAAGCGAACCCUGCAUUUUUGUUGGUGCUGGGAAAACAAAAAGGACUCCCUCAUUCUAAACAGAAAAGGUAGGAAGGCUUUGCCACCUACAGCAAAAUGUGGCAAGCUCUAAUGUAGCCUUGAAAUGCAGGGGCAGGGGUCUGGAGGCAGCACAAUGGAGGGGUGGGGGCGGGGAGGACUGCCAGGUGCCGGCAGGCACUGCCUGUGGGGCUUGGCCCAGUGCAGCCAGUCAGCAGCAGCUGCUGUGAGACUCCAAGCUGAGGCCAUUGCCCCCACUGCAGAGGAAGCAACCCCCCAUGGUCUGUACCAGUCUGACCAGGGCAAGUUCAUUCCUGACCCACAGCUUCAGUCCGACUCUGAGCCAGAUGGGCAAGACCCUGUAGCUAGGACCAUCCAGGGUUGAGUGGCAGGAGGAGUAUUGGCACAUCCCUGAAUGGUGGCAGACCAACCUCUUCUUGAGCACCUCCAGUGCAGGAGAGUUCACAGCUUUUAUGGGUGUCUGUUCCAUUGCCCCCUGCUUCAACUGGGAGUCAAACUGGAACUGAACCAAAACCGAAGAACUGGUUAGAACUGGUGUUUGAUUUGGCCCUGAACCAUCAACAUUUGCCCUGUCCUACUGAACCACAGUGGGAAACAAGCCACCAAAAAUCACUGGGGUCACCAGUUAACCUUGUCUCACUGGUUAGAACAGGGUUACUGGUUAAAUGGAGGUCAGUAGUUACCCCGCAAGGCAGGUUGAAGUGACCAAUUCAGUCUUCACUAAAACUGCCAAUAACAAUUUAUUUAAACUAUAAAAACACUGGCUCACAUGAAAACACACACAGAUAAAAUGAUAUACUCACUGUUACCACAAAGAUUCAUCUCACUGCUCUACUGCAAAUCCUGGGAUUUUCUGAUUUUGCAAUUUCUAUCAUACUUCUCUUUCACUCCUUUAGUCUAUAUGCUUUACAUACAUUUAACUCCAUUCUCUGUUAACAGCUGUAAAUAAAUAGUACUGUUUUCUUAG